rnacentral:lncRNA from 1 species
UUUUAUAUGAGAGGCAGAUCACGCCUCAGCUCUGGAUUCAUCCUAAACGGAGAGCAUGAAGUCGCAACCACCACCAACGACGACCAUGGCUAAAAAGGUCACUGCAAAGCACCAGAGAAAGGCCUUUUUCGGCGAAGAAGCAAUUGAUGACGGAGAAGGCGUUUUCUUGCGGAGAAGCAAUUGAUGACGACCAUGGCUCGUCAUGGCGUCAUGAUUGCCUACGGAGAAGGCAUUCUCCGGUCCAUGGAGAAGCAAUCAAAGAAUCAAUGCCGGCGGAAUAGAUCUUCGUCUCCUGCGGCAAUUCAGAACCUAUGUUAAUUAUUGUGUUGUUUUUGAAUUUGAUGUUGUCUGAUUUUUAGGUUAUGCUAUUGAAUUACUUGGAAAUGGGCUUUUCUUGAGAUUUUUUUGUUUAAUUUUAGUGGUGUUGUUUUGAGAUUUGAACUAUUGCUGCUUUGUUGUGUUUUGAGUUCGUUUAUGAAUCUAUUAGAGUGGUAGCCAGGAUAGCUGGUGGACCCAAACUUUCGUUCAUCUUGGGGCUUAAAAAAAAUCCAACCAAUAUAUAGCCAAACAAAAAAUAUUUGGGCUUAAAGUGAACUUGGUGG